rnacentral:rRNA from 1 species
UUAGGAAUCUUCCGCAAUGGGCGAAAGCCUGAUGGAGCGACGCCGCGUGAGGGAUGAAGGCCUUAGGGUUGUAAACCUCUAAAAGAGGGACGAUAAUGACGGUACCUCUUGAAUAGCACCGGCUAACUCCGUGCCAGCAGCCGCGGUAAUACGGAGGGUGCAAGCGUUAUCCGGAAUCACUGGGCGUAAAGGGCGCGUAGGCGGUCUGUUAAGUCCGAUGUUAAAUCCCGGGGCUCAACCCCGGAUAAGCGUUGGAUACUGGCAGGCUAGACGGUUGGAGAGGCGAGUGGAAUUACCAGUGUAGCGGUGGAAUGCGUAGAUACUGGUAGGAACACCCAUUGCGAAGGCAGCUCGCUGGACAACACGUGACGCUGAGGCGCGAAAGUGUGGGGAGCAAACC